GCGAGGGAGUCGCGGAGCUUUGUGCUGUGGGGGGAUUGCUGCUCCGCCUCGCUGCCGGGCAGAAAGGAGAAAAAGGCAGAAAAGAGCCCGGCCUCGCCUGCCCCAGCGCCGGCCGGGGCAUGCAGCAGGGUCAGGCCGUGCUGUUCAGGGCCGGAGCCACGCUCCCCGGUGUCCCAGGCUCCUAAAGCAGUGCUUUCUCACAGGCUUUUAAAAAUGUUUUGACGGCCUCUCUGUCUCUGGUGUCUGGGAACAAGAACACAUGUUGUAUGACCAUCCAGCUCUUCGUAGAUUACUGUCAAAUGCUCUGGGUCAUGGGGACUCAGCGAUUCCUGGGGGCUGUCAAACUGAUGACACGCAGCAAACCAGCCGGUGUGUCUCUGCCUGCUGCUUAGCGUAAGCGCUGAUAUGUCAGUCAGACUUUACUAUCAAGUACAGGCUUAUGUGCGCCUGAAAUGUUUUGCAGCUUUCGACUCAUUGGUGUACUCAGUAAUUUAAAAGCUUUCACAUACUCUAAAAAAUGUUGUCUUGCAGUGCAAGGGCUAUCUUUGUUCCUAAUACAGAGCCUGAGCCUGCAAGUCCUUUGUGGAAGACCAGGCUCCAGCAUAGAUGUACAAUUGUUAAGCAGUCGGUUGCAUUUCAACUGUGGUAAAACGAUCCUUGUUUUAUAUUUCCAUACAAUAAUUUCUGUAAAGGCUGUGAGAUUCUUUCAGAUGGAGGGCUAUAAAAAUUUAAGUUGCUAUUAAUUAUACUGACUCGCAUGAUUUUAUGUCUGCCCAUUUUACAUGGCAGGAAUGCUUAGAAGGAAAUUUACUCUCCUUUUCUUUUUCACACAUCAUUACAUUUUAUUUGUGAGGAUUUAGCAUAUUUUCUGACUUAACUUGCCAAAUCAGGGGUGCGUGUUUAACAGGUACAGCUGACUUGACAUUCCAGAAACUAGGCAUGAUAACCAAUUAUGUCUCUUGUAGUAAUAUACCUAAUGAAGGAAAGAAAUACUGGGAGAGCUGAACUGUUGCAACAAGAAGUAAAUAUGAGAUUA